rnacentral:rRNA from 1 species
ACGUGAUCUGAGUUCAGACCGGAGAAAUCCAGGUCAGUUUCUAUCUAUAAAGAGUCUUUCCCAGUACGAAAGGACCGAAAAGACAAGGCCUAUAUAUUCUACAAGCCUUACUUAUUAACCUAUGUACCAAACUCAAUAGUACAAUUAGCUAACAUAAAAUUUAAGAUAAGAAA